AACGCAGGUGGUUUGGUAAGUCAGGGGUGAAAGUCCACAGCUUAACUGUGGCACUGCCUUUGAUACUACCUUUCUUGAGUGCAUGAGGGGGAAGCGGAAUUCCGAGUGUAGAGGUGAAAUUCGUAGAUAUUCGGAGGAACACCGGUGGCGAAGGCGGCUUCCUGGCAUGUAACUGACACUCAUGUUCGAAAGCGUGGGGAGCAAACAGGAUUAGAUACCCUGGUAGUCCACGCCCUAAACUAUGGGCACUAGGUGUGGGAGGUAUCGACCCCUUCCGUGCCGCAGCUAACGCAUUAAGUGCCCCGCCUGGGGAGUACGGGCCGCAAGGUUAGAA
rnacentral:rRNA from 1 species